rnacentral:rRNA from 1 species
UACGGGGGGGGCAAGCGUUGUUCGGAAUUACUGGGCGUAAAGGGCUCGUAGGCGGCCAACUAAGUCGGAUGUGAAAUCCCCAGGCUUAACCUGGGAACUGCAUCCGAUACUGGAUGGCUUGGAUCCGGGAGAGGGAUGCAGAAUUCCAGGUGUAGCGGUGAAAUGCGUAGAUAUCUGGAGGAACACCGGUGGCGAAGGCAGCGUUCUGGACUGCAACUGACUCUGAAAAACGAAAGCCAGGGGAGCAAACGGG